rnacentral:rRNA from 1 species
AUUGAACGCUGGCGGCAGGCCUAACACAUGCAAGUCGAGUGGAUGAAGGGAGCUUGCUCCUGGAUUCAGCGGCGGACGGGUGAGUAAUGCCUAGGAAUCUGCCUGGUAGUGGGGGAUAACGUCCUGAAACGGGCGCUAAUACCGCAUACGUCCUGAGGGAGAAAGUGGGGGAUCUUCGGACCUCACGCUAUCAGAUGAGCCUAGGUCGGAUUAGCUAGUUGGUGGGGUAAAGGCCUACCAAGGCGACGAUCCGUAACUGGUCUGAGAGGAUGAUCAGGCACACGGGAAGUGAGACACGGUCCAGACUCCUACGGGAGGCAGCAGUGGGGAAUAUUGGACAAUGGGCGAAAGCCUGAUCCAGCCAUGCCGCGUGUGUGAAGAAGGUCUUCGGAUUGUAAAGCACUUUAAGUUGGGAGGAAGGGCAGUAAGUUAAUACCUUGCUGUUUUGACGUUACCAACAGAAUAAGCACCGGCUAACUUCGUG